rnacentral:rRNA from 1 species
AGGACGAACGCUGGCGGCGUGCUUAACACAUGCAAGUCGAGCGGAAAGGCCCUUCGGGGUACUCGAGCGGCGAACGGGUGAGUAACACGUGAGCAAUCUGCCCUUAGCUUCGGGAUAGCCCCGGGAAACCGGGAUUAAUACCGAAUACGACCUCGGCCGACAUCGGCUUUGGUGGAAAGUUUUUCGGCUAGGGAUGAACUCGCGGCCUAUCAGCUUGUUGGUGGGGUAAUGGCCUACCAAGGCGACGACGGGUAGCCGGCCUGAGAGGGCGACCGGCCACACUGGGACUGAGACACGGCCCAGACUCCUACGGGAGGCAGCAGUGGGGAAUAUGCGCAAUGGGCGAAAGCCUGACGCAGCGACGCCGCGUGGGGGAUGAAGGCCUUCGGGUUGUAAACCCUUUCAGCAGGGCGAAGCGAGAGUGACGGUACCUGCAGAAGAAGCGCGGCUAACUACGCGCCAGCAGCCGC